rnacentral:rRNA from 1 species
GCCAAGGGUGGGGGUGUUCACCCAUUAAAAGGGAUCGUGAGCUGGGUUCAGAACGCUGUGAGGCAGUUUGUUUGAUAUCUACUGGAAAUGUUGAAUGUCUGAGUGGAAGGAUUCUCUAGUACGAGAGGAACGAGAGUUCGAGGCCUCUGGUCUACCGGUUAUCUGACAAGGUAUCGCCGGGCAGCUACGCCUUAAGGGAUAAAUGCUGAAAGCAUCUAAGCAUGAAGCCUGCCGCAAAAAGAGACAUUCUCAAACUCGAGUAAAAGA